AUUGAACGCUGGCGGCAGGCCUAACACAUGCAAGUCGAGCGGAUGAGGGAAGCUUGCUUCCCGAUUUAGCGGCGGACGGGUGAGUAAUGCCUAGGAAUCUGCCUAUUAGUGGGGGAUAACGUUCCGAAAGGAACGCUAAUACCGCAUACGUCCUACGGGAGAAAGGGGGGGAUCUUCGGACCUCACGCUAAUAGAUGAGCCUAGGUCGGAUUAGCUAGUUGGUGAGGUAACGGCUCACCAAGGCGACGAUCCGUAGCUGGUCUGAGAGGAUGAUCAGCCACACUGGAACUGAGACACGGUCCAGACUCCUACGGGAGGCAGCAGUGGGGAAUAUUGGACAAUGGGCGAAAGCCUGAUCCAGCCAUGCCGCGUGUGUGAAGAAGGUCUUCGGAUUGUAAAGCACUUUAAGUUGGGAGGAAGGGUUGUAAGCUAAUAUCUUGCAGCUUUGACGUUACCAACAGAAUAAGCACCGGCUAACUCUGUGCCAGCAGCCGCGGUAAUAC
rnacentral:rRNA from 1 species